UGUGCGAAUUGAUUAAAGUGCUUUUGCACGAAUAUUACCCGAAAUAAUUCAACUUUUUGAAUUAUCGAAGUUUCGAAAUAUUCGUUUUAACAAAAGCUCGAAUUGUGCGAUUCAAGAAAAAUCGACUUUUCUACGUACGGAAUUUGGGAAAAACUUCCUUCAUAAAAGUUGUAGAGCUCGUCGAUAUGAUCGCGUGCAUAUGUCGAACGAAAUUUUUGGAGUUCGUACGAUUAUGUUACGAAUUUUGGAAAUAUGAGAUUCUUUUUAUAAUCUCUUUUCCUCGGAUUCUCUUUUAGAAAUUUCUUUUUCUUCCUUUUCCUUUUCCUUUUCCUUUCCUCCGGGUCUCCUUCCUUCUUUUUCUUUUUCUCUUUUUUUUUCUUCUUUCUCUCUCUCGCUCGACCGAAACCGAAAACAGAGCAAAGGCUCUUCGGUCUCUCUCUACCUCCACCGGCCACCAAACGGCGUCGAACCACUUCCUUUUGCUUCGUCUCAGCCUUGCACAGCUGCUAGAGGCAGCCUUGCACCGUGACACGGCCACCAGCGGCGGCAGGAAGCUCCGCCCGGUUUGAGCUCGUUUUGGAAACAAGCUUGAUAUCUCAAGCUACCGGUCACCAAUCCUCACCAAAAUCCAUCCACAAGCUCGCCUCAACUUCCUGAAACUCCCAGAAGCAGCCUCACACGGCGGCGUGGCCCGUAGCAGUGGCUGCAAGUCAAACCCAACCAAGAACGAGACCGGAGCUAUCGAUCAAGAUAUCUCGAGCUGUAGUGCAUCGUUUUGAUUGAUUCUUUUUCCAGUGGGUUCCCCUUGAUGUUAUUAACAACUCUCUAGAAGGAAUCGAGGCCUGAAAUUGAAGAUUUGACGUCGAAAUCGAGCCUUGCCGGAUUCUGCAAAAUUCUGGAAUUUUUCCGACCACCGAAGCUUUCGAUCGGUAUAUCUCGAGCUACAGACCAUAUUUUUCUGUGAUUCUUGAACCAGUGAGUUCUUCUUGAGUUUCUUAACAACUCUUCAGAAGGAAUCGAAGCCUUAAAUUGACGUUUUUACGUCGAAUUGGAGCUCGCCGUUUUCUGCAGUUUCUCGCCGGUUUCUGGAAAAUUCCGGCCACCUUCAUACUGUUCAAGGUGAUCGACGGUUUGAUUUGGCGGACGAUUCGUGAAAUUGUAUUUUGAGCUGUUAAGAAGACGCAGCGGGAAUUUAGAGCGGGUAAUCCUACAGGACAGGAGAACCAGGACGGUGAUCGUGCGGUUAGAGCAAUGGUUAUAGUUUUACAGCAAUUGUAAUAGUGAGGCGAGUUAAGCUCAUUUGAGCAUUACAAUUUGAUUUGGUGGGAGUGUGCUGUAAUAAAUAACUUGAGGAUUUGGGUUAUUGUAAAUUUGAGAGUUGUGAAGUGUGGUUGUUUGUGAGAAAAAAAUUCAGGAUGUUAGUUGUAAUUUGUUAUUAUUCAUGUUUCGGAUUUGAAUUGAUUAUUCAAAAUUCGGGGCGUGACAGU